CGUAGGGUGCAAGCGUUGUCCGGAAUUAUUGGGCGUAAAGAGCUCGUAGGCGGUCUGUCGCGUCGGCUGUGAAAACUUGGGGCUCAACUCCGAGCUUGCAGUCGAUACGGGCAGGCUAGAGUUCGGCAGGGGAGACUGGAAUUCCUGGUGUAGCGGUGAAAUGCGCAGAUAUCAGGAGGAACACCGGUGGCGAAGGCGGGUCUCUGGGCCGAUACUGACGCUGAGGAGCGAAAGCGUGGGGAGCGAACAGGAUUAGAUACCCUGGUAGUCCACGCCGUAAACGUUGGGCGCUAGGUGUGGGAUCCCUUCCACGGGUUCCGUGCCGCAGCUAACGCAUUAAGCGCCCCGCCUGGGGAGUACGGCCGCAAGGCUA
rnacentral:rRNA from 1 species